AACGAACGCUGGCGGCGUGCCUAACACAUGCAAGUCGAGCGAGAAAGUUCCUUCGGGAACGAGUACAGCGGCGCACGGGUGAGUAACACGUAGGUAACCUACCCUCGAGCCCGGAAUAACCCGCCGAAAGGUGGGCUAAUGCCAGAUAGGACCACGGUGGUCACGGCCACCGCGGUGAAAGAUGGCCUCUGUUCACAAGCUAUUACUCGAGGAUGGGCCUGCGCGCCAUUAGCAGUUGGUGAGGUAACGGCUCACCAAGGCGAUGAUGGCUAGCUGGUCUGAGAGGAUGGCCAGCCACACUGGGACUGACACACGGCCCAGACUCCUACGGGAGCAGCAGUGGGGGAUAUUGCGCAAUGGGACGAAAGCCUGACGCAGCGACGCCGC
rnacentral:rRNA from 1 species